CAUGCGGAAGCCGAAAAGCACAUAGAGUAGGCA
rfam:Algoriphagus marincola HL-49 ITZ_scaf_283, whole genome shotgun sequence.